rnacentral:rRNA from 1 species
AAUCAACGCUGGCGGCGUGCCUCAGACAUGCAAGUCGAACGAUUAAGACUCCCUUCGGGGAGUGCAUAAAGUGGCGCACGGGUGAGUAACACGUAAGUAAUCUACCCUCGAGUGGGGAAUAACAACCGGAAACGGUUGCUAAUACCGCAUAAUGCAGCGGCACCGCAAGGUGACAGUUGUUAAAGGAGCAAUCCGCUUGAGGAGGAGCUUGCGGCAGAUUAGCUAGUUGGUAAGGUAACGGCUUACCAAGGCUACGAUCUGUAUCCGGCCUGAGAGGGCGGUCGGACACACUGACACUGAAUAACGGGUCAGUCUCCUACGGGAGGCAGCAGUCGGGAAUUUUGGGCAAUGGGCGAAAGCCUGACCCAGCAACGCCGCGUGAAGGAUGAAGUAUUUCGGUAUGUAAACCUCGAAAGAAUAGGAAGAAUAAAUGACGGUACUAUUUAUAAGCUCCGGCUAACUACGUGCCAGCCGCCGCGGUAAAAC